GUUAAUGUAGCUUAUAAUAAAGCAAGGCACUGAAAAUGCCUAGAUGAGUGACUCCACUCCAUAAACA
rnacentral:tRNA from 1 species